rnacentral:tRNA from 1 species
CUGUUGAAAUUACCAACAUCUUCUGAAUGCAACCCAGAUACUUUAAUUAAGCUAAGACUUC